GUGGAUAGCGGUGAAAUUCCAAACGAACUUGGAGAUAGCUGGUUCUCUCCGAAAUAGCUUUAGGGCUAGCCUCGGAAUUAGGAUCAUGGAGGUAGAGCACUAUUUGGACUAGGGGCCCGUCUUGGGUUACUGAAUUCAGAUAAACUCCGAAUGCCAUUGAUUCAUAUCCGGGAGUCAGACGAUGAGUGAUAAGAUCCACCGUCGAAAGGGGAACAGCCCAGACCAUCAGUUAAGGUCCCUAAAUGUAUGCUAAGUGGAAAAGGAUGUGGAGUUGCAUAGACAACUAGGAUGUUGGCUCAGAAGCAGCCACCAUUUAAAGAGUGCGUAAUAGCUCACUAGUCGAGUGAUCCUGCGCCGAAAAUGUACCGGGGCUAAGCAUACUACCGAAACCAUGGAUGCGACCAUUAGGUCGCGUGAUAGGAGAGCGUUCUAAGGGCGGUGAAGCAAGAUCGUGAGGACUUGUGGAGCGCUUAGAAGUGAGAAUGCCGGUAUGAGUAGCGAAAGAUAGGUGAGAAUCCUAUCCACCGAAUGACUAAGGUUUCCUGGGGAAGGCUCGUCCUCCCAGGGUUAGUCGGGACCUAAGUCGAGGCCGAGAGGCGUAGACGAUGGAUAACAGGUUGAGAUUCCUGUACUAGUUAAGUGCGUUUGAGCAAUGGAGGGACGCAGGAGGCUAAGAUGUGCAUUCUGUUGGAUUAGAAUGUCCAAGCAGUAAGUCUUGUGAAGAGUCAAAUGCUUUUCACUUUAAGGACAAGCUGUGAUGGGGAGCGAAAUUUAGUAGCGAAGCGUCUGAUGUCACACUGCCGAGAAAAGCUUCUAGUGAGUACUUAACUACCCGUACCGCAAACCGACACAGGUAGUCGAGGAGAGAAUCCUAAGGUGAGCGAGUGAACUCUCGUUAAGGAACUCGGCAAAAUGACCCCGUAACUUCGGGAGAAGGGGUGCUGAUCGCAAGAUCAGCCGCAGUGAAUAGGCCCAGGCGACUGUUUAUCAAAAACACAGGUCUCUGCAAAAUCGUAAGAUGACGUAUAGGGGCUGACGCCUGCCCGGUGCUGGAAGGUUAAAAGGAUGGGUUAGCUUCGGCGAAGCUCAGAAUUGAAGCCCCAGUAAACGGCGGCCGUAACUAUAACGGUCCUAAGGUAGCGAAAUUCCUUGUCGGGUAAGUUCCGACCCGCACGAAAGGCGUAACGAUCUGGGCACUGUCUCAACGAGAGACUCGGUGAAAUUAUAUUGUCCGUGAAGAUGCGGACUACCCGCGACAGGACGGAAAGACCCCAUGGAGCUUUACUGUAGCUUGAUAUUGAGUGUUUGUACAGCUUGUACAGGAUAGGUAGGAGCCAUAGAAACCGGAACGCUAGUUUCGGUGGAGGCGUUGGUGGGAUACUACCCUCGCUGUAUGACCACUCUAACCCGCACCACUAAUCGUGGUGGGAGACAGUGUCAGGUGGGCAGUUUGACUGGGGCGGUCGCCUCCUAAAAAGUAACGGAGGCGCCCAAAGGUUCCCUCAGAAUGGUUGGAAAUCAUUCGCAGAGUGUAAAGGCACAAGGGAGCUUGACUGCGAGACAGACAGGUCGAGCAGGGACGAAAGUCGGGCUUAGUGAUCCGGUGGUACCGUAUGGAAGGGCCAUCGCUCAACGGAUAAAAGCUACCCUGGGGAUAACAGGCUUAUCUCCCCCAAGAGUCCACAUCGACGGGGAGGUUUGGCACCUCGAUGUCGGCUCAUCGCAUCCUGGGGCUGUAGUCGGUCCCAAGGGUUGGGCUGUUCGCCCAUUAAAGCGGUACGCGAGCUGGGUUCAGAACGUCGUGAGACAGUUCGGUCCCUAUCCGUCGCGGGCGUAGGAAAUUUGAGAGGACCUGUCCUUAGUACGAGAGGACCGGGAUGGACAUACCUCUGGUGUACCAGUUGUGCCGCCAGGCGCAUCGCUGGGUAGCUACGUAUGGAUGUGAUAAACGCUGAAAGCAUCUAAGUGUGAAACACACCUCGAGAUGAGAUUUCCCAUUCCUUUAUGGAAGUAAGACCCCUGAAAGAUGAUCAGGUAGAUAGGUUAGAAGUGGCAGUGCGGUGACGCAUGAAGCGGACUAAUACUAAUCGGUCGAGGACUUAACCAAG
rnacentral:rRNA from 1 species